UUUCCAGAAGGUUCCGAGGGUCUUAGUGCUAGAGAUAGAAGAACAGUGAGGGAUGCCCUGGCCUUCCUUUGUGCUGCUGCAGCCUUCAGAUGAAGAUGUAGAACUCUCAGCUCCUCCUGCACCAUGCCAGCCUGGAUGCUGCCAUGUUCCCGCCUUGAUGAUAAAGGACUGAACCUCAGAACCUAGUGUCCCUCAGCAAUUCGGGGUGAACUUCGCCUCAGAUGAACGGAUCCUUUAAUUUCUCCGAAGUAGCCCACUUCUGUGGUCCACGUGAGCUGCCGAAUGAGCCAUUGUAUUUGAAUGUCUCUUCUUCUCACAGGGAAGUCUAAGCUUUCAUUGAUUUUCAUGUUCUGAUCAGCUCCAGGAUGGGGAGAUGAGAGCUGAUGGUUGAAAACGCAGUGGUUUGAGCUGCGUGUGAUGGCAUGUGCCUGUCCUGCAGCACUUGGGAGGCAGCAGCAGGAGAUUCCGGAGUUCAAGGCUUGUCGUUUCCUGCUCUUCUAGAGGACCGGACAUCACCGAUGUGAGAAAGCUCACGGUUUCCUGUAACUCCAGCCACAGUGGGUCUGAUGCCCUCUUCUGGUCUCCUCAGGCAACUUUACAUAGGUGACAUACACACACAUAUAAAUGAGAAUAAUAAAAACAAAUCUUUAUUAAAAAAAAACAAAC
rnacentral:lncRNA from 1 species